GUAAUGGUGUCUUUAGACACCACCUUUUAUCUUCAAAUUUUUUUUGU
rfam:Picea glauca, whole genome shotgun sequence.